rnacentral:misc_RNA from 1 species
GGCUUUAUAUACUUCCCUAAUACUUUUUGGUGGUGUUUUCUCCUCAUCCUGCUUUGUUUCUCCCUGCUUUGUUGCCUCCUCUUCUCUUUCUGCCGAUUCCGAAGAUCCCUUUCUUUCUCAAACAAACCUUGCCAGAAUACCUCUCCUGUUGAUGGCCAUAACCAUCUUCUGUUUGGGUGGUCAGAAUCUGCCUCCUCAGCUAAGUCUUCAUCCAUGCUCUUUAGGGUGGUGUAUGAGAACCAUUUGACCCACAUUUUCCC